AACACUUUAAACUGAUCUGAACAAACUGCACGAGGCAUUGCAAAUGUUUACUCGGUGUUGUAUUGAUUCUUGACUGGCUGUUAAUUUUAUACAAGCUAAAGACGACCUUAUUUUGAAUAUAAUAUUUAGUAAAGGAAUAUUUGCCAGUGUGACCGAGCGGACGACAUUCUGAAAUAUCUAUCGAGGUUUGAGUCCAAUCGUUAGAACCUUUUUUUUUUUAAAUUUUUUAUUGGUUUUUUUAAAAAUUCAAAAAUAGAACACAAUAAAAAGAGAACUAUGAAAUUGUUUUGUUUUGCUUUUUAAAAAUUAAAGCUUUCCGCGACAAACUUUUUUUGAACACAGUCAGGGGGAUAAAAUAAGUUGUUUCUAUUAAGAA